UAGGUACUGAAAGGAUAUAGCUCUUCCUACACAACUAUUUGCUGAAAACUGUGGAUUCUUACAAGUCUGAUCCUUGUUCCAUAAAGAAACGAUGGCAGAAUAAUGGAAUUUUCUCUGGAACAAAUCUUUUUUCUUCUGCUCCACAGUAAGCAAGAGGUUGGUUCCAAACAUUACUGGUUUUCCUCAGAAAUCUGAUAAGUAUUACUUGCAAUUAAUCUUGUUACUUUAAUUACAUCUUUGAUGUGACUAAUGAUGCUGUAAAAGUAAUUAUAUCAUUUAAUUGUGAUUCUCUAUUUUUUUGCAAUAAGCCAAAGCAAGCCCACAUUCAAAGAGGUGUUCUGCAUAGCUUGAUAAAAAUGGUUUUCUCUAAGUGCAUUUGAAAGCUCUGUAUCUGCUAUAGCCAGGUUAAGUAAAAGUGAAAAAUAUAAUUUUAUAUGUAACAGGAGAAUGGCUUCCAAAGGAAAAUAAGUGAGUGAACAACUUUAACAUAAAGCAACUCAUGCAUUCUUUAUCUAAUUUCCUAUAAAUUUUGAACAAAAAGCACAUUGAAACAUCACUCUGUUUCCAUGUUAGACUAGGUUCAUAAUGCACUCUCUCGUUUUAUUGUGGCAUAUUCUUUUGCAUAAAUAAGAUACUUUUGAAGCCCUGGGAUUUUCACACCUCUGUUUCAUUUUCAAAUGUAGACUUUGAAGCACAAAAGGUUUUAGCUUAAGUUGUGUACCUCAAAUACUUUUGGUUGACUUUUAUAUUUGCUGAAUUUUUUCACAGGAAGCUUCAGCUUGUUUUACAAUUAAAGGCUUAAAUCAUAUUUAUUGUAGCUCUGUAAAAUAUUUCUGCCUAAAUAUUACAUAAGUUUAGUUUCUGUAUUAGGCUGGGAAUUUACCUGAUACUCAGUAUCUAUGUGAAUCCUUCAACAUAAUCAAACAUAACUCAAUGUUCAACACUUUUCAUUCUCCUCAAUAACCACAGACAAGGAAACAUCUCCUGUGGACUGUCCCAGGAUAAAUACUAAGAUCGAGCUUCAGUGCUGGAAGCCAAGACUUGGUAGUCAUACAUUGCAAUAUUUGUAUUCCUACAUAAUCAAUGCUCUGUCUUGUCUCAGUUUUUGACUUCAGGUAAACUACGUGUCUGGAUCAGUCUGGAAGCUUUUCGCAAUGGCACUUGAGCUAUAAACUAUGGUACUAACCAAGCAGCUUUGAUUCUGUUGUGUUUAAUCAUUGCAGAAAAAAAGAAGCACGGGGAAGCCUUUUUUGUAUGUGUUAAAUGUUACAGUGUGUUGGUAGUGUUCAGUUCUUCUUUAUACUAAAUUUUCCCUUUUUAAAAAAUAAAAUAUGGUUUUAAUUGCCUAUUCACAAGAGACUUAUGUGAAGAAAUAUUGAAAUAUGGUAGGAUAACUUCAUACAACUUCAUGCUUUCUCUUCCUCUGCAUAAGAUAACAUGCUGAACAUGAAGCAUACCAGAUAAAGCAUAGUUUCAGUAUAGGUAACUUUUGAGAGAAUGUUGCUUUUUUUCUAAGAGACAUAACUAAGUAGAACUUUUGUUUGAUUCCUGACCUAAAAUUGAGGAAGUAUUACUUUAGAAGAAGUUCCUAAGAACUGGCAUAUCUUUUGCAUUUUCACAGUAGCUGUUUUGUCAUCUUGUACUCUAAAUUGUCUGAAAUAUAAUCAGACAAGUUAGUUUUUGAAACUGCAAUCACCAGUGAGAUACUUUAGCUAAUGACUGUGUAGUUAGAAAUUUUGGAGUACUUUAUCCUGUCUGUUUCAUCUGGAAAUGCUGAGAACUUGGUGGGCUUCCUCUUCACUUUGGUAUAUGAAGAUUGUCACAUGAGAUAGGGGGGGGUGUAAGAACUAUUCAUCCAAAUUGGUGAAUAGACUUCAGUUUUACUGGAGCUUAAUUUCAACAAAAUUUGAGACAGAUUAAGUACAAAAUAUGUACCAAAUAUUGCAGGAAUAGUAAUUUUUAUCUAAUAAUUCUUGUAUACUUUGUGUUUGUGUUUUUGUUGUUGUUUUUUUUUUUUUUUUUUUUUGUAUAUGUUAAAAAAUGACCAAGAUUUUUUCUCUGAAGCUAGCAGAAUUAUUUCUUAUGAAUUCUCUCAGGUUCUCUCUCUUAGAUUUUCCAGGAAAUUUCACUUUUUCAAGUUUUUGUUGUUGGUUGAAAUUGUGAUUCCUCUAACAUUAUCAGCAAAGUUUCAGUUUUGUGUAUAUGAUACAUUCUAAUGACAUUUCAGGUUUGGUGCGUAUAUUAAGAUAUCUGCCCUUCUUCUCUAAAGAAGAGAAAAAACAAGAAAAAUGUUUCAGCCUUUCCAAAUACAAAUAUUUUGUCACGCUUUUGUUUCAAUACUACUAAUUUUUAUUUUUAAAUAAUUUUAACUAAAAAUUCUAAAAUACUCAUUUGCAGGAAGCAUCACAUUUUAUUUUUUAUCUUAAGAAAACAAACAAAUUCAUACAGAAAAUUCAGGAAAGCACUGCAAAACUCUUUCUCACUCUGUUUUUUUUUUUUUUUUUCGUAGUGGGAUACUAACUUCAAACCACUGAAAAUCAAUCUAAUUUCUUGUAUUUAAUAUCACAUAGUCUGAGGAUUAUCUGGUUAUGGAUGAUCUCGUGCAUUCAAAACGUUCCUUUUUAUGUGGAAUGAAAGCAUGAGCUCACUCCUUCCUAUGCUUUCCUUUGGGCUUGGCUUCACAGUUGCAAUUGUAUGGAAGACAUGUAGGAAGUAGCUUUCAGUAUGUCCCUCCAACUUUCAGAAUAUAUCUAAUUGUUCUGAUAGAGGUGAGCCUGUAAUCCUCAGGAUUUUAUUCUCGUGUGAGCACUGCCUUCCUUCCCCAGUCCUCCUCACAUUUAACAAUUUGAUAUUCACCAAAACAUGUGACUCUUCUUUCACCACUGAGCUUUUGAUAUAUAUCUUUU
rnacentral:lncRNA from 1 species